rnacentral:rRNA from 1 species
CGCUAGCGACAGGCUAACACAUGCAAGUCGAGGGGCGAGCACGGGAGUAGCAAUACUUGGUGGCGACCGGCGCGACGGGUGAGUAACGCGUAUGCAACCUACCUAUCAGAGGGAAUAACCGGCGAAAGUCGGACUAAUACCGCAUAAAACAGGGGCACCGCAUGGUGAUAUUUGUUAAAGAAAUUCGCUGAUAGAUGGGCAUGCGUUCCAUUAGGUAGUUGGUGAGGUAACGGCUCACCAAGCCGACGAUGGAUAGGGGAACUGAGAGGUUGGUCCCCCACACUGGUACUGAGACACGGACCAGACUCCUACGGGAGGCAGCAGUGAGGAAUAUUGGUCAAUGGGCGGGAGCCUGAACCAGCCAAGUCGCGUGAAGGAAGAAGGAUCUAUGGUUCGUAAACUUCUUUUGCAGGGGAAUAAAGUGCAGGACGUGUCCUGUUUUGUAUGUACCCUGAGAAUAAGGAUCGGCUAACUCCGUGCCAGCCGCCGC